rnacentral:lncRNA from 1 species
GUAACUGUGAGUUCACCUGAUGUCACUUCCCCCUGUAACUGGUAACCUUCCCCUCCCCAGGAGUGAAGACUGCCACCAUGCCCUGUCCAGCCUCCACUGCAGAGAGUGAGGUGACACCCCAGGGACCAUGCUUCAGACAGGGAGCUCCCCCAUCCAUUAAACCAUUGAGCUCUCUGUCCUGACUCCCAGUUCCUUCUUAGGUCUCGUGGAUAGGCAAGCACAGGGCUUGCAAGCCCAACGCUCAUGACUGGGUCAUAGAUGGUGAAGAAGGAAACUUAACACUGACCAAGUGGAUGCAGGUGUGAGCCUGGAGGGCCAGGUCUGCAUUAAGAAGUUUACUAUUUAUUCAGCUGGCCAUAGGGAGCCAUUGAGGACUUUUGAGUAUAGAGGAGUGACAUGAGAUGAGAAUGACACGUGAGAAGUAUCGUUAGAACGUAAGCCUCCUAAGGACAGAUUCCUCCCUGCUCCCCCAUGUGAUUCUUGCUGUGUCCCCUGUGCCUGCAACAGUAUCUGGCCCAGUUAGGUGUCCAAUGACUGAUGUGUGAAUGAAUGAAUGAGUGAUGAAGGCAGGCCUAUGGGAUAGAUCGAGGAGGGCCGCCGGAAGGCAGGAGAACUAGUUCAGAGGCUAUGAGAGCUGGUCCCUGUGAGCUGGCGGCGGGAUGGGUGCAGGCACAGCAGCAGGCGACUCUGGGAACAUCUGCUUUCUUCCGCCCUCUGCUCCUCUUGGAGGCACUGACCACUCUGUGAAUGCAGGGAAGCUUCCGGGCAGCAUAAUCCAUCCUGACAGCCCUGGCCACAUGCAUUUGCAGAGCCUCUGUUCUCUUCUCCUCCCCAUUCAGAUUGGAACACAGUUCAGGCACGCUCUGGAGAGGAAAUAGUCAUUUGCCUCUGAACAUGAAACAGCAUUUUCUGAAGCCGCGAGCAGCUGGUGUGAGCUGGGCUGGCUCGCAAUUGCAACCAGCUUGUUUUAAUUUGGGGCUGGGGGUGGGGUUUGGGGUGGGACUUGAUGUACCAGCUUCCCAGUGGGAAGACACUCACAUAUCCACACAAACACACACGCAAAUGCGACAGGCCUGCAGGCUUGGCCAGCUUGGCAGAGGAGAGGGCUUCCUAGUGGGAAGGAGAGGAAGGAAGGGAAAAGGGUUGCACAAAUGCAUUCUUCUCAAACCCCAGGGGAGCGGCUGCUUUUGGCCAUGCAAUCCAUCCACUGGGAACCAGUGCCCUGCUGGUCCUGGAACCAUCUUAGAAGGUUGAACACUUAACGAUGCAAAAGCAUUUUGUCAGAUGCUCUACCUGAUGGUUUUCUGCAGAAGGCAGGUGUUGGGGGGAGUGCUGGAGAAAGAAGUAGGCUGGUUGCCAAGGCCUUAUACUGUUUUGAAAAAUGAUAAAUAUGAGUAGAAAAAGUCACGGGGCUGAGACUUCAAGGAGACUCAUUAGAAACGUGCCUCCCCAAGUGAGACUCCAUUUUCUCCUGCUGUGUCAACCCCAAAAAUCAAGGCUGGACACAGAUGUAAAAACAAACAUAAAUGCACACAAAUGGAGCUGAUGGUUCCCCUCUCUCACCCUGUUCUUUCUCUCUUGUGUUUCUCUUGUCCACCCUCUUUAAUCUCCUCUCUUGAACUCGAACAGUCCAGAUACUGUCUGCGGUGGGUUACUUGUCCCCAGGCCCUCUCUCCACCGUCCUGGUGGUGGGUAUUUGUCCACCAGCACAGGCGCAGGGGACUCUGGGGCCAGUGACACCUCUGAGGCUGCCGAUGGACACAGUGACGAGAAAUCCUUCUUGCAGAGGAAGUGGGCAGCAUGAUAUUCUUUUUUUUUUUUGUCUUUUCUAGGGCUGCACCCAUGGCCUAUGGAGGUUCCUAGGCUAGGGGUCUAAUUGGAGCUGUCGCUGCCAGCCUACGACAGAGCCACAGCAACGCCAGAUCUGAGCCGCGUCUGCGACCUACACCACAGCGCACGGCAAUGCCAGAUCCUUAACCCACUGAGCAAGGCCAGGGAUCAAACCCGCAACCUCAUGGUUCCUAGUCAGAUUCAUUAACCACUGAGUCACGACGGGAAUUCCGGCAGCAUGAUAUUCUGGAAAUAUAUCUAAAAUUGUGCAACUGUGGAUUGUGGGCCUACCUCUGCCGAGGUGGCAGAGAGCUCAACUUUCCAUUUCACCACCAACCCUGUGAGUUGGGUGUAACGAUCCCUCCCCCAGAGUUGUUGCAGGACUAAAGUGAGGUGAUGUGUGUAACAGUGGACUUAGCUAACAUUUAGCCGUAAUAGCUAGAACUUCGCCAACAGUCUUAGGUAUGCUUUUCCAACCACUUCAAAUAAUUAACUUGCUUGACUUUUACAAUAACCUUAGGAAGGACUACAAUUACCCACCUUUUAUAGGCCCAGAGAGGUUAUGCCAUUUGUCCAAGUAAGUGGCAAUGGUGGGAUUUGAACGCAGGCAGCCUGACACCAAAGCCAACGCUCAUUACCACUACUCUAUGCUACCUUCUGCCACCAUGGUGUGCACAAUCAUAGCUGUCCCGUGCUCCCUGGGACCCCCUCCCCUAACCUCUUUCCUCAAGGAGCCCCGAGUCUUGCAGAAAGUUCUCUGGCAACAGUGGAGCCGUUCCCCUUGUUAAUUAGGUGUUUCAUUUUACUGCCAGCCUUUUGUUUCCCCCUGGAGAUCUGGCAGUAUUUCCAAUAAAUUGUGUUUCAAGGAAAGAAAUAGAAAAAGACAGUGAGUGGCCCCCAGGUUGGAGGCUGCAAAGUUUCUUUAGGCAGGGAGAACAAUUGGGCCAUUGUCUGCGUUAAUAGGACUUCCUGGGGAGGCAGCUGUGGGCCUUGCUCCCCGGUUUUAUUUUAGCAAUGUCCAAAUUAGACUCCCUUUUCCUCCCCUUCCCUUUGGUCAGUAGUAUAUUUUAUUCUCAUACGGACCACUCCUUAUUCCCACAACGGAAAUUAAGAUUUGGGUUUUGGACUUAGCAUAGGGAUGUGACAAGGGUUUGCUUACAUCUCAAGAGUGGAACUGAAUAUUUUGCAAAACCUGCUUUCGUGGAACCGAGAGUUUCCUUCUGGUGGGAAGGCUGGGCUCUUCUUCUUGGGCCACAUAUCUGCAUCUCAGAGGAAAACCUUAGCACUUAAAUCUGGAUUGAUCAGUACUCCUUAUUUAGCUUUAUGAUGAUCCAGACUGAGGAUGUUCAUUCAGUCCUUUGCCCUCUGGUUGUGAGGAGCAAGAGGAAGAGUUGAGAGGUGGAUAUUGGUGGUGGUGGACCUGGGCAUGGCCUCAGCGUGACUCCAGUUUGAGUUACUGUCCUGCCAAGCACCAGAUUACUUGAUGUUGGCCAAGUAGCCUGACUUCCUCCGGUAGGUGUUUAAUGUAUUUCUUUGUAGGAGACAUUUGUUACUUUUCUUAGCUGCCUGGGAUUUUCAGCCUCUUCUUCCUUCUUUGCAUUAUCACUUUCUUUAGAAGGCAGAGUUGUCUCUCCCUAGAGAAACUGAAAAGACAAGACAAUCGCCCAGUGUUCUUGCGUCUAGUUUUUUUGCCAGCAAGAGGAAAUCACCUAGGCAUCGUUCAGAAGUGCUGUGGAGGAAUGGAAACGCAUCCAGCUGGUAUCCGUGAUGAUGUGGGUUCGAUCCCUGGCCUUGCUCAGUGGGUUGGGAAAUCCAGCAUUGCGGCAUUGCUGUGGCUGUAGCAUAGGCCGGUAGCUGUAGCUCUGACCCCCAGCCUGGGAACUUCCAUAUGCCGCAAGUGCGGUC